rnacentral:tRNA from 1 species
GAGGGUAUAGCUCAGGGGGAAAGCGCAUGCUUAGCAUGCACGAGGUCCUGGGUUCAAUCCCCAGGACCUCCA